CCUACGGGCGGCAGCAGUGGGGAAUAUUGGGCAAUGGGCGCAAGCCUGACCCAGCAACGCCGCGUGAAGGAAGAAGGCUUUCGGGUUGUAAACUUCUUUUCUCAGGGACGAAACACGUGACGGUACCUGGCGCAUAAGCCACGGCUAAAUACGUGCCAGCAGCCGCGGUAAUACGUAGGUGGCAAGCGUUAUCCGGAUUUACUGGGUGUAAAGGACGUGUAGGGGGGACUACAAGUCAGAUGUGAAAACCACGGGCUCAACCUGUGGCCUGCAUUUGAAACUGUAGUUCUUGAGUACGGGAGAGGCAGACGGAAUUCCUAGUGUAGCGGUGAAAUGCGUAGAUAUUAGGAGGAACACCAGUGGCGAAGGCGGUCUGCUGGACAGCAACUGACGCUGAGGCGCGAAAGCGUGGGGAGCAAACAGGAUUAGAUACCCCUGUAGUC
rnacentral:rRNA from 1 species